UUUAAUUUUCACUUUUCAUUUUUGCCCAUUCUUCUUUGCACCACCUCUCAAGCUCCAUGAAGUUGGAUGGGGAACGUUGGUGUACGGCUAUUUUCUCCAGAGAUGUCCAGUCGGAUUCAGCUCUGGGUUCUGGCUGGGAAACUCAAGGACAUUCAUAGAGUUGUCUUGAAGCCACUCCUUUGAUAUUUUGGCUAUGUGUUUAGGGUCAUUGUCCUGCUGACAG